AGUGAACGCUUGCGGCGUGCUUUACACAUGCAAGACGAACGAGAACGGGUUAUAGCUUGCUAUAAUUGUCAGCUAAGUGGCGCACGGGUGAGUAAUGUAUAGGUAAUAUGCCUCUUACUAAGGGAUAACAAAUGUAAACGUUUGCUAAUACCUUAUACUCCUUAUUAACAGAAGUUAAUAAGGGAAAGAUUUAUUGGUAAGAGAUUAGCCUGUAUUGUAUCAGUUAGUUGGUGGGGUAAUGGCUUACCAAGACUAUGACACAUAACUGGUUUGAGAGGAUGAUCAGUCACACUGGAACUGAGACACGGUCCAGACUCCUACGGGAGGCAGCAGUGGGGAAUAUUGCACAAUGGACGGAAGUCUGAUGCAGCAACGCCGCGUGGAGGAUGACACAUUUCGGUGCGUAAACUCCUUUUAUAUGAGAAGAUAAUGACGGUAUUAUAUGAAUAAGCACCGGCUAACUCCGUGCCAGCCGCCGCAGUAA
rnacentral:rRNA from 1 species